rnacentral:rRNA from 1 species
UACGAAGGGGGCUAGCGUUGCUCGGAAUGACUGGGCGUAAAGGGCGCGUAGGCGGAUGGCACAGUCAGAUGUGGAAUUCCCGGGCUUAACCUGGGGGCUGCAUUUGAUACGUGUGAUCUGGAGUGAGGAAGAGGGUCGUGGAAUUCCCAGUGUAGAGGUGAAAUUCGUAGAUAUUGGGAAGAACACCGGUGGCGAAGGCGGCGACCUGGUCCUUUACUGACGCUGAGGCGCGAAAGCGUGGGGAGCAAACAGG